GGGAGCGCAGGCGGGCGAUCAAGUUGGAAGUGAAAUCCAUGGGCUCAACCCAUGAACUGCUUUCAAAACUGGUCGUCUUGAGUAGUGCAGAGGUAGGCGGAAUUCCCGGUGUAGCGGUGGAAUGCGUAGAUAUCGGGAGGAACACCAGUGGCGAAGGCGGCCUACUGGGCACCAACUGACGCUGAGGCUCGAAAGUGUGGGUAGCAAACAGGAUUAGAUACCCUGGUAGUCCACACCGUAAACGAUGAUUACUAGGUGUUGGGAGAUUGACCCUCUCAGUGCCGCAGUUAACACAAUAAGUAAUCCACCUGGGGAGUACGACCGCAAGGUUGAAACUCAAAGGAAUUGACGGGGGCCCGCACAAGCAGUGGAGUAUGUGGUUUAAUUCGACGCAACGCGAAGAACCUUACCAAGUCUUGACAUCCUCUGACGAACGUAGAAAUACGUUUUCUCUUCGGAGCAGAGAGACAGGUGGUGCAUGGUUGUCGUCAGCUCGUGUCGUGAGAUGUUGGGUUAAGUCCCGCAACGAGCGCAACCCUUAUGGUCAGUUACUACGCAAGAGGACUCUGGCCAGACUGCCGUUGACAAAACGGAGGAAGGUGGGGAUGACGUCAAAUCAUCAUGCCCUUUAUGACUUGGGCUACACACGUACUACAAUGGCGUUAAACAAAGAGAAGCAAGACCGCGAGGUGGAGCAAAACUCAGAAACAACGUCCCAGUUCGGACUGCAGGCUGCAACUCGCCUGCACGAAGUCGGAAUUGC
rnacentral:rRNA from 1 species